GAGAUCUCUCAUACAAAAAGACCUGAACUAACUACUCGCUCAAUGCGCAUUGAAAUUCUAAUGAAUGCCCUUAUUUAGCAUCUUUGAGUUGAGCUUAGCCCUCUUCCUAUCCUAAACCCCUAGAAUCAUAAGGAACGAUUGAUGGUUGAUCUGGCAAUUCUUUUUAGUAAUUAGUUAGUCUAUCAAGCAGAAAACUAUGACUGAGGAAGUCUCAGGGAGGGCACCCCCUUUUAAGGUAAUUAUAUGCCGUCGCCCCCCACGUUAGAACUCUCUUUAACCGGAAUCUUUAUGGCUAAACCUUUUUUUUUAACCGAUUAAAUCGUAAGUUGCAUCCUCAACUUCUGGAC
rnacentral:lncRNA from 1 species